rnacentral:rRNA from 1 species
AUGACUUGGGAGGGUUCCGGUCACCCCUACCCGGGCAGACAACCUCCCUCAUUCACAUCAGAAAUGGCAAAGAUUCCAUUUUGGAAAGUCAAUCUCUUUUUGUAUAGAUAUAAAAUAGCAAAAGUACGGUUCGGAGUCUUUUCUUUCUUAUUUGAAAUCCAAAUCGAAAUGCCUCAACUUGAUAAAUUAACUUAUUUCUCACAAUUUUUCUGGUUAUGUCUUCUCCUCUUUACUUUUUAUAUUCUCUUAUUUAAUAAUAAUAAUGGAAUACUUGGAAUUAGUAGAAUUCUCAAACUACGGAACCAACUGCUUUCGCGCCGGGGGGGCGAGAUCCAGAGCAAGGACCCUAAGAAUCUGGAAGAUAUCUUGAGAAAAGGUUUUAGCACCGGUCUCUCAUAUAUGUACUCUAGUUUAUCCGAAGUAUCCCAAUGGUGUAAGACCGUCGACUAUUUGGGAAAAAGGAGGAAAAUCACUCUGAUCUCUGAUUUCGGAGAAAUAAGUGGCUCACGAGGAAUGGAGAGACAGAUUCUCUAUUUGAUCUCGAAGUCCUCAUAUAACACUUCUUCCAGUCGGAUCACUUGUUGGAAAAACAUAAUGCUCACACAUGUUCCACACGGGCAAGGAAGCAUAGUAUUAUGA